CCCGCUGAGUUUAAGCAUAUCAAUAAGCAAAGGAAAAGAAACUUACAAGGAUUCCCCUAGUAACGGCAAGCCAACCGGGAAGAGCCCAGCUUAAGAAUCAGGCGUCGUCGACGUCUGAAUUGUAGUCUGGAGAAGCAUCCUCAGUGGUGGACCGAGCAUAAGUCCCCUAGAAAGGGGCGCUAGAGAGGGUGAGAGCCCCGUUGCGCUCGGACCCUGUCGCACCAUGAGGCACUAUCAACGAGUCGGGUUGUUUAGGGAAUGCAGCCCCAAUCGGGUUGUUUGACACGUUCUUGGCUUAUUACCUCCACGAGAAGGUUUUU
rnacentral:ncRNA from 1 species